UACGUAGGGAGCAAGCGUUGUUCGGAUUUACUGGGCGUAAAGGGCGCGUAGGCGGCAAUUCAAGUCAUCUGUGAAAUCUCCGGGCUUAACUCGGAACGGUCAGAUGAUACUGCUUUGCUAGAGUGCAGAAGGGGCAAUCGGAAUUCUCGGUGUAGCGGUGAAAUGCGUAGAUAUCAGGAGGAACACCGGUGGCGAAGGCGGGUCUCUGGGCCGAUGACUGACGCUGGAGGAGCGAAAGCGUGGGGAGCGAACAGG
rnacentral:rRNA from 1 species